UACGUAGGUGGCAAGCGUUGUCCGGAAUUAUUGGGCGUAAAGCGCGCGCAGGCGGUCCUUUAAGUCUGAUGUGAAAGCCCACGGCUCAACCGUGGAGGGUCAUUGGAAACUGGGGAACUUGAGUGCAGAAGAGAAGAGCGGAAUUCCACGUGUAGCGGUGAAAUGCGUAGAGAUGUGGAGGAACACCAGUGGCGAAGGCGGCUCUUUGGUCUGUAACUGACGCUGAGGCGCGAAAGCGUGGGGAGCAAACAGG
rnacentral:rRNA from 1 species